rnacentral:rRNA from 1 species
AUGGCGGCUGCCGAUCCUUUCCGAUGCCGAGGAGUACAGUUUGUACAGGGGUUUGUCAAUCCUGGAUCUGGUCAACUAUUUGAUUCAGACAGAUCAUGGAGGCUGGUUCUCAUAUUUUGCUUGGUGAAUUCUUCAAUGCACAAUUUGCCAUGGCUGCUGAUCAGGCCCCUUGAGUCAUUCCAGUCCUACAAUGUUCAAAAAAUAUGUGUAAACAAAUUGAUGGCUAAAGUAGACCUGAAGGUCAAGGAAGCUAUCCUUAUAUAUUUAGAAUCCCAUCUAUGCAUACAUAUGUACCGGACCAUCUACGAUAUUCAUAAUAUGUGUCCUAAGACAACAAGCUAUACCAUGAUUAUCUAA